rnacentral:snRNA from 1 species
AGCUUUGCAUAGUAGCAGUAUUGUAGCCAAUGAGGUUUAUCCGAGGCGCGAUUAUUGCUAAUUGAAAAAGCUGCCCAAAUAG